rnacentral:tRNA from 2 species
GGAGAAAUACCCAAGUGGUUGAAGGGGCGGGCUUGGAAAGCUCGUAGGUCGGUAACACGGCGCUGGGGUUCAAAUCCCCAUUUCUCCGCCA